rnacentral:tRNA from 1 species
GCCCCGGUAGCUCAGCUGGAUAGAGCGACUCCCUCCUAAGGAGUAGGCCGCAAGUUCGAAUCUUGCUCGGGGCG